UUCUGUUUGAUCCCGCCGGAGGUUACUGCUAUCGAGGUUCGACUAAGCCAUGCGAGUCGAAUGUAGCAAUACAUGGCGUACUGCUCAGUAACACGUGGACAACCUACCCUUAGGUCGGGGAUAAACCCGGGAAACUGGGUAUAAUACCCGAUAGUCCUCGGAUGCUGGAAUGCACCGAGGUCUAAAGCUCCGGCGCCUAAGGAUGGGUCUGCGGCCUAUCAGGUAGUAGUGGGUGUAGCGUACCUACUAGCCUACGACGGGUACGGGUUGUGAGAGCAAGAGCCCGGAGAUGGAUUCUGAGACACGAAUCCAGGCCCUACGGGGUGCAGCAGGCGCGAAAACUUUACAAUGCUGGAAACAGCGAUAAGGGAACCUCGAGUGCCAGGUUACAAAUCUGGCUGUCGUGAUGCCUAAAAAGCAUUGCAUAGCAAGGGCCGGGCAGGACCGGUGCCAGCCGCCGCGGUAACACCGGCGGCUCGAGUGGUAACCGCUAUUAUUGGGUCUAAAGGGUCUGUAGCCGGCCGGAUAAGUCUUUUGGGAAAUCUGGCAGCUUAACUGUCAGGCUUUCAGAGGAUACUGUCUGGCUCGAGGCCGGGAGAGGUGAGAGGUACUUCAGGGGUAGGGGUGAAAUCUUGUAAUCCUUGAAGGACCACCAGUGGCGAAGGCGUCUCACCAGAACGGACCUGACGGCAAGGGAC
rnacentral:rRNA from 1 species